rnacentral:lncRNA from 1 species
GAAGACGGUUCCAGCCUGCGAGCGGCCGCAGAGGGGAGUGGUGAAGGGAAGCUGCUCGCCUGUGGCUCCAGGAGGCAGAGUGAGCACUGGUUUCCUCCUUUCUCUGCUUUUGUUCCAUCCCGACCCCAGCCCGUUGGACCGUGCCGCCCACAUUCAGAGUGGCGUUCCCCCUUCCUGUGCUGUCUCACAGGCCAGUUACCCCUGGACAUGUCCUCACAGACACGUCAGAAGCUAUUUUACUAACACCGAAGCUUUCCCAGUCCACGGUGACAUCAAGAUGAGGCAUCAAACGGGACCCGGUAACGCACCAUGAAUCACAGACAUGCGUACAUGGGUGUGCACGUCUGUGCAUGCUCACAUGGGUGAGGUAUGAAGACGAACCUUACAUAAAUCCGCCACAGACGUUCUGAGCCGUUCCUCACACCAUGUGCCGAGUGCCAUCCUCAGCUUCUCCCGGACAGAGACUCUUCCUCUCACCCUGUGUGGGUCGCUCACAUUCAUCAGGUGCUCACGGCAGUGCCAGAUGCAGUACGGAGGAAGCUGUAGGAAGAAGACCACUUUUGUCUCAGCACAGCGCCCUGGCUCUCCUUGGAGAUAACAUUCACAGCAAACAUUCUUGGGGCAAGGAAUGAAAAUAACAACACCCACUGAUUUUCUUUGGAUCACAUGGCUUCUAAAUGUCAGCUUCCUAAACCUACCUUUGACUGUGAAGUUACUUUAUCAAAGGACCUUGGGAGAGCAAAGACUGAAUAAAAAAAUAUUCACAGACCUCUGAUUCUUGGGACAGAAGCAAUAUCUUAUUCUCCAUGCUUAUUUCCCAAGCCCACACAUAAAAAAAGAAGAAGGAGAAAAAGGAAAAGAAGAGGAAGAGGAGGAGGAGGAGGAGAUGAGGAAGAAAAGAAAAAUGAACAAAGCCAUUAACUUGAAAGGCG